AACGAACGCUGGCGGCACGCUUAAUACAUGCAAGUCGAACGAGAAAGUUGGGCAACCGAUGAGUAAAGUGGCGCACGGGUGAGUAACACGUAGGUGACCUGCCUAGUAGAGUGGGAUAACAGAGAGAAGUUUCUGCUAAUACCGCAUAAACUGUGAGGGAAUGAAGACGUCACAGGAAAGAUAGCCUCUGCAUAUGCUAUUGCUAUUAGAAGGGCCUGCGUACCAUUAGCUAGUUGGCGGGGUAAAGGCCCACCAAGGCGACGAUGGUUUACCGGUCUGAGAGGAUGAUCAGCCACACUGGCACUGGAACACGGGCCAGACUCCUACGGGAGGCAGCAGUGAGGAAUUUUGCGCAAUGGCCGCAAGGCUGACGCAGCAACGCCGCGUGGGUGAAGAAGGCCUUCGGGUCGUAAAGCCCUGUCAGGUGGGAAGAAAGGGUCUGUCAAGAAACGGAUGGAUUUUGACGGUACCACCAGAGGAAGCACCGGCUAACUCCGUGCCAGCCGCCGCCGUAAUAC
rnacentral:rRNA from 1 species